rnacentral:rRNA from 1 species
UACGUAGGGGGCUAGCGUUGUCCGGAAUUACUGGGUGUAAAGGGUGCGUAGGCGGGUAUUUAAGUCAGAUGUGAAAAUCACGGGCUCAACUUGUGAACUGCAUUUGAAACUGAAUAUCUUGAGUGAUGGAGAGGAAAGCGGAAUUCCUAGUGUAGCGGUGAAAUGCGUAGAUAUUAGGAGGAACACCAGUGGCGAAGGCGGCUUUCUGGACAUUAACUGACGCUGAGGCACGAAAGCGUGGGGAGCAAACAGGAUUAGAUACCCUGGUAGUCCACGCUGUAAACUAUGGAUACUAGGUGUAGGGGGUAUCGACUCCCUCUGUGCCGCAGUUAACACAAUAAGUAUCCCACCUGGGGAGUACGGCCGCAAGGUUGAA